GCUGGGUGUGGUGGUGCGUGCCUGUCAUCCCAGCUACUCAGGAGGCUGAGGCAGGAGAAUCGCUUGAACCCAGGAGGCGGAGGUUGCGGUGAGCCGAGAUCCAGCCACUGCACCCCAGCCUGGGUGACAGAGUGAGACUCUGUCUCAA
rnacentral:sRNA from 1 species